CUCAAGUCAGCAGCAUCAGGUGGUGGAAUGUGGUGUCCAGAAGAGAUAUCCAGUCUCCGGGUUUUUUCUAGUCAUUUCCUGGGAAGACACGGCUGAUGGAAGUCAUCUUAAGAGCAUGCAAACCAUGGACGAUAGCAAAGAUAACCAGGAGAGCUUCAAAGUGGAUUGUGGAAAAGCAAACUGAAGUUCAUAAGACAACAAACACAGUGUUACUGGGGAAAGUGAAGAAGCAAGAUACACGAGAGACUAAAGAUCAUAAUGUGUUCUGCG
rnacentral:lncRNA from 1 species